rnacentral:rRNA from 1 species
UACGGGGGGGGUAAGCGUUGUUCGGAAUUACUGGGCGUAAAGGGCUCGUAGGCGGCCAACUAAGUCAGACGUGAAAUCCCUCAGCUUAACUGGGGAACUGCGUCUGAUACUGGAUGGCUUGGAUUCGGGAGAGGAAUGCGGAAUUCCAAGGUGUAGCGGUGGAAAUGACGUAGAUAUCUGGAGGAACACCGAUGGCGAAGGCAGCCCCCUGGGUCAAGAUUGACGCUCAUGCACGAAAGCGUGGGGAGCAAACAGG